UACGUAGGGUGCAAGCGUUUGUCCGGAAUUAUUGGGCGUAAAGCGCGUGUAGGCGGCUUUGCAAGUCGGGUGUGAAAGCCCCUCAGCUCAACUGAGGAAGUGCGCCCGAAACUGCAGAGCUUGAGUACCGGAGAGGAUGGUGGAAUUCCCCAAGUAGAGGUGAAAUUCGUAGAUAUGGGGGAGGAACACCGGUGGCGAAGGCGACCAUCUGGACGGAUACUGACGCUGAGGAGCGAAAGUGUGGGGAGCGAACAGG
rnacentral:rRNA from 1 species